rnacentral:rRNA from 1 species
GUGCACCAAGCGAGAAUAUUUCGCAAUGGGCGCAAGCCUGACGAAGCGACGCCGCGUGCUUGAAGAAGCCCUUCGGGGUGUAAGAGCUUUAUCGGGGAUGAACCUUCGGGUGACAGUACCUGAUGAAUAAGGGGGUGCUAACUCUGUGCCAGCAGCAGCGGUAAUACAGAGCCCCCAAGCGUUAUCCGGAUUUAUUGGGCGUAAAGGGUCCGUAGGCGUCCCGCCAGGUUUCCUGUUAAAUAUCUAGGGCUUAACCUUAGAGCUGCAGGAAAAACCGGCGGGAUAGAGGGCGUUAGAGGCUGAUGGAACGGUCGGUGUAGGGGUGAAAUCCGUUGAUAUCGACCGGACACCGAAAGCGAAGGCAUUCAGCUGGGGCGACCCUGACGCUGAGGGACGAAAGCGUAGGUAGCGAACGGGAUUAGAUACCCGGGUAGU